GUUUCAAAUCACCUCCCGAACUACCCCUUUCAAGGAUCUCCAACAUUUUUGGGACACCCUGUAUAGCCGUAAAUAGGCAAACAUACUACUGCAUACUACUGUUACGCUAUCACGUGAACUUAGCUCUAUUACAUGUAGCGCCACAAUGCAAUAGAAAACUAUACUAAUGUACACCAUAAUGUACACCAUUUGUUAUUAAUUAUGUAAAAGUAGGAUAUAAAUAUUAUGACUAUAUGGUUUGAAGAAAAUAUAAGUGUGAAGGAAGUUAAAACCUUUGGACCAAAUUGAAGUGUUUUAAAAUUAAUAAGAGAUAUUAUAAGUUAAUAAAAACGUGAAAUAGACAAAAUUGUUGGUACGAAGCCAAAGAGGUUAAGUGAACGCGUGGAAGUGAUAAAGGGAAGCUACCCAAGGAAAGAAUUGUGCAGUUAAUUAUAAGAGUGUGUUACAGAUUUUACAACUUGGGACUUCAAGUCAGUAUCAUUAAUUAUGGCUUCCAUUAUGGCAUAUAUAUGAUUGAAUACGGUCAUUACUUCUUCUGUAGGAACAGAAAGGCCUCUUCUUCACCAAUAGUUUUACCUUUAUCCUCCACAAUUAAUAAUUUACAUAUAUUACAAUUUAGUUUUUUAGCAAUAGAAUGGGACCCAUAACCAGAUAUGUAAAUUUUAAUGGAAUCAUCAACAACACAAGUGGAUAAAUAUCCAGUUUCGAAGAUUCCCAGAAAACAAGUUACAUCAAUGGAAAGAUUAUAAAGAUUAUUAUCGUUAUCACAAAUUUCAAAUCUAUUUUUGAUUUUAGUAGAAGACAAAAAUCUUGCCGAUUUUGUAAAUAUAUGUUUUAAUCUAAUAUUUUUCUCUGCAUGAACUACUUCAUUGUAUGAAACGUGAUAAUUACAGCUAGAUAAAAGUCUAUAGUUUCCAAAUCGUUUCUAUAAUUUUUCAGUUGAAAAUUUUCCUGCUAAAAGAUAAGAUAUGUCAACAUUUUGAAAACAGUACUCUAUUAGUAGUAAAAGAACUCUAGUACUUUGAUGUAAAGCUUUGAAAGUGUUGAGGAAUCGAGUAUGGGAGAUUAACAAUGAGACAGUAUGUAAGAUCACGUGGAUAGAGAUUGCCGAAGCAUGCCACCGCGUGCUAACGUCUGACAAGGUUAUGCUUUUUGUUACUCACUUGGCCGCUAGAACCUCUCGCGUAUCUAACGCCCUGGGGCCGCGCUCUGUGGGCGUGCUCACGCAACAGAAAGUGUUGUUUGUUUGGCGUUUAGGUCUAUUAGUCCUAGAUAUAAAAAGUACAAAAAUAGAAAUAUUUACAUUGCUACAUAUAAUACUUAAUAGUAGAAGUCAUCUUAGCCUAAGUGUAUUUCUUUAUACCAGAUAUGAUGUUAUCCUAAGUGCAGUAUGUCCGUAUAUAUUUCUGUGUUUAUUGUAUUGUUGGCGUCCUUCUGUGAUUUAGAGUGUUGUGUGUAUUGUUAUUUUGUCUCCUAUUAAAUCUGUAAGUUAUUUUCUUUUAGAAACUCUGUGAUUAUCCAGAUUGCUGCUAGGUUAGGUUCCUGUAAAAGUUCUUCUGCCUUGAAGGGAGGUGUCCAUCCACGCCUGUGCAGUUUCUCUGUCAUAGUCUUCCUUUUUUGUACGUAUAGUGGACAAUUUCAAAGUAUGUGAUUGAAAUUUUGCAGUUCGUGGCCACAGCCACAUUUGCUGUCUUUGGUUAUUCCUAUUCGUGUUAGGGAGGCAGCGAGAU